AGGCAGCGCCUGCUUGGCUGCUCCACGAAGAUCCUUCAGGCCUAAUAGUGAGAUAUGGAAUGGCAUAUGAAAUAAAAUAAAAUUAAUUGUAUACAGGAACUUCGAGAAGGAGAAGAAAUUUGUAGUCCACCAGAGGGUUUAUCUGAUAGUUCAAUUCUGAUUCAUCACCUGCAUUUUCUGUUGAAUAAAUGAGUGGUUUUGGUAGGGUGUUAACAUGUGUGACGUGUAUUUUCAUCGAGUACUGGACGGAUCAUAAUGUUGCAACUAUUAAGUGGUAUUUUAGCAAGCUCAUUUUUGGGAGUGCUAUGGGAAUGAGGUGAGUUAGGCUCAGUUUGUGGCUGCCAAACUGUGUUGUGCUUGCUUCCUUUAUAAUCUGCUGUUGGAAAUUAGCCAGAAAAAUAUGCAAAAGUGGGUUAGAGAGACACAAAAAUAAUUUGAAGCAGGUGAGCCAAACAGGAUUAUGAUAAUCCACCGCAAUGCCAAACACAGCCUUAAAAGAGUGCUUUGACUCUUUGAGAAUUGAGAGCACUUAUCCUUUGAUUACAUACCCUACGCUGAGCUCUUUUAAGAAAAGAAAAAUAGUUUCUUGGAUCCUCAAAACGUUCCAAUGGAGUUAUACAUGUACAUAUAGAUGUGAGCAUGUAUGCAUAAAUUUUAUCAAUAUCUUCUCAGCUAUGGUGUACACAAAAGGGAGAAAUGUAUAGAUCAAAAUAGAGUAACCUUUUGCUUUUUUGGAGCCACAAAAUUUUCUUUUUUUUGUGUAGCCUACAGAUUAAUGUACUACCUCUGUUCCAAAAU
rnacentral:lncRNA from 1 species